UCCAUCCUCCGUUUUUCUACCAUGACAGCCUGUGACUGUAAAAUCACCAAUGGCCUCAUGGUAACACCCCUGAGCAGUUGUGUUCAUGUCCUGCAGCUCAGUUCAGUUCGGAAGGAUGACUAUCUUUGAUGUGUCUGGGUGGUUUAAUACACAAUCCACAGGAUAAUUAUUAACUUGACCAAGCUAAAAGAGAUAUGCAAUGUCUGAUUUGUUAUAGUUACCCAUCUACCAAUCACUGCCCUUCUUUAUGAGGCUUUCGAAAAGCUCCCUCUUUGUAGUUGAAUCUGUGCUUGAAAUUCAAUACCUGACUGAGGGACCAACAGAUGUUCUAUGUUAUGGGGUACAAAGUGGCAAGAAAUGGGAUGAUGACUGGAUCAAGGCAGAGGACCGAGUUUCUCCAGUUUAACCUACUUUAUGCACAAAUGUAUUCCUCACUCUCCCUUCACAUGUAUCACUGUCAAUCAUAAAUGGUUGGCAAAAUUCGCCAUGAUUUACCAUUGAAGCAUUCAUGGAGCAUCAGCAUGCCAACCAUUUGAUCUCAAUCAGUUUCAUGAGAAUAUGUAUUUAGAUAUUCUUGAUAUAAAGUGAGCUACAAAACUAUUGCAACAGUGACACUUUUUUGUUGUUUUGGAUCUGUACUCCAGAACGUUGUAUUUGAAAUAAUACAAUGACCAUGAAGUUUAAGUGCAGACUGUCAGCUUUUAAUUUGAGGGUAUUUUCAUCCAUAUCUGGUGAACCGUUUCGAAAUUACAGCACGUUUUGUACAUAGCCACCCCCCCAUUUUAGGGGACCAAAAGUGAUAAAUUCACUUAUAUGUGUAUUAAAGUAGUCAGAAGUUGAGUAUGUUUGUAUUUUUAUAUUUGCAUUGAUUCAUUUUACUAUGUUAUUAUAUACGUUUAAUUUCACUCUCAUGUUUUACCUUUAGUCUAUGCCUAUUUCUAGAACAUAAUGCACAUACUGUAGCUGAUUAUCCUAUGGAGUAAAUACAAUUAUAUUUAGUAAAGACAGUUAAUUUGCAAGUUGAA